rnacentral:rRNA from 1 species
AACGAACGCUGGCGGCAGGCUUAACACAUGCAAGUCGAACGCCCCGCAAGGGGAGUGGCAGACGGGUGAGUAACACGUGGGAACGUGCCCUAAGGUUUGGAAUAUUUUCGGGAAACUGGGAGCAAUACCAAAUGUGUCCGCAAGGAGAAAGAUUUAUCGCCUUAGGAUCGGCCCGAGUCAGAUUAGCUAGUUGGGGGGGUAAAAGCCUACCAAGGCGACGAUCUGUAGCUGGCCUGAGAGGACGACCUGCCACACUGGGACUGAGACACGUGCCAGACUCCUACGGGAGGCAGCAGUGGGGAAUCUUGGACGAUGUUCGCAAGCCUGAUCCAGCCAUGCCGCGUUGAUGAUGAAGGCCCUAGGGUUGUAAAAUCCUUUCGUUGGGGACUAUAAUGACGGUACCCAAAGAAGAAGCUCCGGCUAACUUCGUGCCAGCAGCCGCGGUAAAAC